rnacentral:rRNA from 1 species
UACGUAGGGUGCAAGCGUUAAUCGGAAUUACUGGGCGUAAAGCGUGCGCAGGCGGUGAUGUAAGACAGAUGUGAAAUCCCCGGGCUCAACCUGGGAACUGCAUUUGUGACUGCAUCGCUGGAGUGCGGCAGAGGGGGGAUGGAAUUUCGCGUGUAGCAGUGAAAUGCGUAGAUAUGCGGAGGAACACCGAUGGCGAAGGCAAUCCCCUGGGCCUGCACUGACGCUCAUGCACGAAAGCGUGGGGAGC